rnacentral:misc_RNA from 1 species
GAUGAAGAACGCAGCGAAAUGCGAUACGUAGUGUGAAUUGCAGAAUUCAGUGAAUCAUCGAAUCUUUGAACGCACAUUGCACCUCUCGGUAUUCCGGGAGGUAUGCCUGUUCGAGCGUCAUUUGUACCCUCAAGCUCUGCUUGGGGUUGGGUGUUUGUUCCGCCUCUGUGUGUGAACUCGCCUCAAAACAAUUGGCAGCCGGCGUACUUGUUUCGGAGCGCAGCACAUUUUGCGAUCCAGAUCAACGUACAGCGGCAUCCAAGAAGCCUUAUUUAACGCUCUUGACCUCGGAUCAGGUAGGGAUACCCGCUGAACUUAAGCAUAUCAAUAAGCGGAGGA